rnacentral:rRNA from 1 species
CCCUUAGAUGUUCUGGGCGGCCCGCGCACUACAUUGGCACUAUCAACAAGCACCUUGAUUGAAACCUUUCGGGUAUUCUAGCAACUGGUGUCGUGACUGGGAUAAAUCCCUGUAAUUAUUGGUUUUGAACGAGGAAUUCCUUGUAAUCGCGAUUUAUCAGCUCGUGUUGAAUGCGUCCCUGCCCUUUGUACACACCGCCCGUCGCUCCUACCGAUGAAUCGUCCGGUGAAGCUCAUGGAGUAGUGACCACGUGUUGCUUUCAAAGUGAUAUGGACCUCACGAUUUAGAGGAAGGAGAANUCGUANCA